rnacentral:rRNA from 1 species
CCUACGGGGGGCUGCAGUGGGGAAUAUUGGACAAUGGGCGCAAGCCUGAUCCAGCCAUGCCGCGUGAGUGACGAAGGUCUUCGGAUUGUAAAGCUCUUUUGGCGGGGACGAUAAUGACGGUACCCGCAGAAUAAGCCCCGGCUAACUUCGUGCCCGCAGCCGCGGUAAUACGAAGGGGGCUAGCGUUGUUCGGAAUUACUGGGCGUAAAGCGCACGUAGGCGGAUUUGUAAGUCAGGGGUGAAAUCCCGGGGCUCAACCGCGGAACUGCCUUUGAUACUGCAAGUCUUGAGGCCGGAAGAGGUGAGUGGAAUUCCUAGUGUAGAGGUGAAAUUCGGAGAUAUUAGGAAGAACACCAGUGGCGAAGGCGGCUCACUGGUCCGGUACUGACGCUGAGGUGCGAAAGCGUGGGGAGCAAACAGGAUUAGAUACCCCUGUAGUC